rnacentral:rRNA from 1 species
CAAUCAAACCGGGAGAUAGCUGGUUCUCCCCGAAAGCUAUUUAGGUAGCGCCUCGUGAAUUCAUCUCCGGGGGUAGAGCACUGUUUCGGCUAGGGGGCCAUCCCGGCUUACCAACCCGAUGCAAACUGCGAAUACCGGAGAAUGUUAUCACGGGAGACACACGGCGGGUGCUAACGUCCGUCGUGAAGAGGGAAACAACCCAGACCGCCAGCUAAGGUCCCAAAGUCAUGGUUAAGUGGGAAACGAUGUGGGAAGGCCCAGACAGCCAGGAUGUUGGCUUAGAAGCAGCCAUCAUUUAAAGAAAGCGUAAUAGCUCACUGGUCGAGUCGGCCUGCGCGGAAGAUGUAACGGGGCUAAACCAUGCACCGAAGCUGCGGCAGCGAACGUAUCACCCAAGACAACUUUACGGAGUUGACGAUUGACGGAGCGAAGCGACGUCAAAGCGUUCAUUAAAGUCGAGUUGGCUUAGGGAUACGUUCGUUGGGUAGGGGAGCGUUCUGUAAGCCUGUGAAGGUGUGUCGUGAGGCAUGCUGGAGGUAUCAGAAGUGCGAAUGCUGACAUAAGUAACGAUAAAGCGGGUGAAAAGCCCGCUCGCCGGAAGACCAAGGGUUCCUGUCCAACGUUAAUCGGGGCAGGGUGAGUCGACCCCUAAGGCGAGGCCGAAAGGCGUAGUCGAUGGGAAACGGGUUAAUAUUCCCGUACUUGGUGUUACUGCGAAGGGGGGACGGAGAAGGCUAUGUUGGCCGGGCGACGGUUGUCCCGGUUUAAGCGUGUAGGUGUGUGUUCCAGGUAAAUCCGGUUCACUUUAACACUGAGGCGUGAUGACGAGGCACUACGGUGCUGAAGCAACAAAUGCCCUGCUUC